AGACAGGCAGUAUGUAUAUGAAAUAAAUUCCUCUAUUCAAGCUAACAAAAAAUAUCUCAUCUACAUUUUGUUUAUCCAUGGAAAGAAACUGAGCAUGUCCUCUGCAGUUUUACUACAGGUCAUCUGAAGGGCAGCCCAUGGAUUCCUCUGAUCCAUGCAGACUUCCCAAGGGCCAAAGAACAAGGCCCGUUUGAUCCAGCACCUGCUGUGAGCCCAUCACUUGGAUACUUUUGCUGCAAAUUUUUACCAGACUGAACAGAGUAAUAUGUAAAGGGGGAAAAAAGCUCAAAGAGCAACAGGAAAAUCAGCAGGAAAUCAACAAAAAAUAUUAUUAAGAGCACUGAUCAAUCAUCUCAGCAUUAUUUUGCCCAAUAUGGUUGCACUUGCAAUAGACCAGCAAUUGGCUCCAGGACUGAAUCCUGGCAUCAGAGAAGACCCCAGGAUCCCAUGACCACAAUAAAUGUGCUGAUCUUCCUCAGCACUCAAACUGGCCUUCCUCAUUCCUUUCACUAAUUCAUCAUUCCUUUCAUUUUAUAAAUCAGAAGAAAGUUUCAAACCUCGAUGCCACAAAGGAAUGAAGCACAGCAUGAAGAAACUUCAUUUCACAUUGAAACAUCACUGUGUGGAACAGUGUGAUGAAAUGAG
rnacentral:lncRNA from 1 species